CCGUAUGUGAAAAUGACUUAGCGACAGUCGUUAUGUAUGUGUGUUUACAUAUGAAACGAAAGUGGAAAUUCAUUUUAACCAAGUGGACAAUUGUUUUUUAAAGUUUAAAGAUCUACUGUACGUUUUUAUUUGCUUCAAGUCCAGUCGCUUUAAUACAUGUUUAGUAGAGAUCCUUGUCCAGUCAAUGUGAUCCUUGUCCAGUCAAGUUAUUAUAGAUACUUGAGAUGACGACACAACCUUACUUAUAAAAUAGGCUGACCUCAGAGGUACAUUCAUCAGUAUUUAUCUAAUUAAUCUGGGAAAGUGCAAUAGAUGUUCUGGUGUUUGAUGGAAAGAGUCACAUCCUGCUUGUAGAAUAUAUUUGUACCUCAUUCAGG